rnacentral:rRNA from 1 species
UGACGUCAAAUCAGCACGGCCCUUAUGUCCAGGGCUACACACGUGUUACAAUGGCCGGUACAGAGGGCAGCUACCUGGAGACAGGAUGCGAAUCUCGAAAGCCGGUCUCAGUUCGGAUCGGAGUCUGCAACCCGACUCCGUGAAGCUGGAUUCGCUAGUAAUCGCGCAUCAGCCAUGGCGCGGUGAAUACGUUCCCGGGCCUU